CCUACGGGAGGCAGCAGUAGGGAAUUUUCGGCAAUGGGGGGAACCCUGACCGAGCAACGCCGCGUGAACGAAGAAGUUAUUCGUAAUGUAAAGUUCUUUUAACCGGGAAGAAAGAGAAAUUUGACGGUACCUUAGGAAUAAGCCUCGGCUAACUACGUGCCAGCAGCCGCGGUAAUACGUAGGAGGCAAGCGUUAUCCGGAAUGACUGGGCGUAAAGGGUGCGUAGGUGGUUUGACAAGUUGGUAGCGUAACUCCGGAGCUCAACUUCGGAACUACUACCAAAACUGUUGGACUCGAGUGCAGGAGGGGCAACUGGAAUUUCUAGUGUAGCGGUGGAAUGCGUAGAUAUUAGGAAGAACACCGGUGGCGAAGGCGAGUUGCUGGACUGUAACUGACACUGAGGCACGAAAGCGUGGGGAGCAAACAGGAUUAGAUACCCUGGUAGUC
rnacentral:rRNA from 1 species